rnacentral:tRNA from 1 species
GCGGCAAUAGUUCAUCGGUAGAAUACGGGACUGUGGAUCCUGUGAGGUGGGUUCGACUCCCACUUGCCGCC